GACAGAGGAUGCAAGCGUUAUCCGGAUUCACUGGGUUUAAAGGGUGCGUAGGCGGAUUUGUAAGUCCGUGGUGAAAUCUCCGAGCUUAACUCGGAAACUGCCGUGGAUACUAUUAGUCUUGAAUGUUGUGGAGGUUAGCGGAAUAUGUCAUGUAGCGGUGAAAUGCAUAGAUAUGACAUAGAACACCAAUUGCGAAGGCAGCUGGCUACACAAAUAUUGACGCUGAUGCACGAAAGCGUGGGGAUCAAACAGG
rnacentral:rRNA from 1 species